rnacentral:rRNA from 1 species
AUUGAACGCUGGCGGCAUGCUUUACACAUGCAAGUCGAACGGUAACAGGUUAAGCUGACGAGUGGCGAACGGGUGAGUAAUGCAUCGGAACGUGCCCGGUCGUGGGGGAUAACGCAGCGAAAGCUGCGCUAAUACCGCAUACGAUCUAAGGAUGAAAGCGGGGGACCGUAAGGCCUCGCGCGAUCGGAGCGGCCGAUGUCGGAUUAGGUAGUUGGUGGGGUAAAGGCUCACCAAGCCAACGAUCUGUAGCUGGUCUGAGAGGACGACCAGCCACACUGGGACUGAGACACGGCCCAGACUCCUACGGGAGGCAGCAGUGGGGAAUUUUGGACAAUGGGCGAAAGCCUGAUCCAGCAAUGCCGCGUGCAGGAAGAAGGCCUUCGGGUUGUAAACUGCUUUUGUACGGGGCGAAAAGGUCUCCUCUAAUACAGGGGGCUCAUGACGGUACCGUAAGAAUAAGCACCGGCUAACUACGUGCCAGCAGCCGCCGUAA